rnacentral:miRNA from 1 species
CAAAAUCGUCUAUGACUUUUGC